GCUCAAAUUUGAAAUCUCACUGUUUUACAGUGCGAAUUGUAGUUUAGAGAAAUGUUUUCUAGGCAGACGAUUAGUACAAGUUCAUUGGAACAUGACAUCAUAGAGGGUGAAAAUCCCGUCUUUGACUAAUUGCUCUGUUUAAUAUGAUACAUUUUCCAAGAGUCGGUUUGUUUGGGAAUGCAGACCAAAAUGGGUGGUAAAUACCAUCUAAAGCUAAAUAUUGGCGAGAGACCGAUAGCGAACAAGUACCGUGAGGGAAAGAUGAAAAGAACUUUGAAAAGAGAGUUAAACAGUACGUGAAAUUGUCAAAAGGGAAACGCUUGAAACCAGUAUUUUUUCUAGUAAUUCACCCAUCUUUUAGGUGGUUUAUUUUACUAGGAAAGAGUCAACAUCAGUUUUGUUUGGGGUAAAAAACUAUGGGAAGGUAACCUGCUUCGGGAGGUAUUAUAGACCAUAGCUAUGCCCUGGAUGAGACUGAGGUCUGCAGUAUUUUUUGGCCAUCUGGCACACCAAUACUUGGGAUGUUGACGAAAUGGUUUUAAGCGACCCGUCUUGAAACACGGACCAAGGAGUCUAACAUAUAUGCGAGUAUUUGGGUGGAAAACCCUUAUGCGUAGUGAAAGCGAAAAGGUGGGAUUCUUUACUGAUGCACCAUCGGCCGCGCUAGAUUAUUACUAUCUCAGCGUGAGUAUGAGCAUAUCUGUUGGGACCCGAAAGAUGGUGAACUAUGCCUGAAUAGGGUGAAGCCAGAGG
rnacentral:rRNA from 1 species